GUUUGAUCAUGGCUCAGAACGAACGUUGGCGGCGUGGAUUAGGCAUGCAAGUCGAACGCGAAAGGGUAGCAAUACCCGAGUAAAGUGGCGAACGGGUGAGUAACGCGUAGGAAACCUGCCUUCGAGAUGGGGAUAACACUCCUAACGGGGUGCUAAUACCGAAUGACACUGCGAAGUCGCAUGGCUUUGCAAUCAAAGGUGGCCUCUGCUCGCAAGCUACCACUCGAAGAUGGUCCUGCGUCCCAUUAGCUAGUUGGCGAGGUAACGGCUCACCAAGGCGACGAUGGGUAGCCGAUCUGAGAGGAUGACCGGCCACACUGGGACUGAGAUACGGCCCAGACUCCUACGGGAGGCAGCAGUCGAGAAGCUUCGGCAAUGGGGGAAACCCUGACCGAGCGACGCCGCGUGGAAGAUGAAGGCCUUUGGGUUGUAAACUCCUGUCAUGUGGGAAGAAAUGCCACCGUUCGAAUAGGGCGGUGGUUUGACGGUACCAC
rnacentral:rRNA from 1 species